GGCUAAGGUACCGGAGGGUUGGGAUCGGCCAACGCGGAGGCGCCUUUUACUUAGCCACUACCUCUCCUAUCUAACUUGGGGCGUCCAGGAUCCGCAGCGACGACUUCUCUUUUCUUCGGGGUUGUGCUGCUUCCCGUGUAGCUGCGCCGCUCGUGCGUGCGUUGACGUUCAGGCGGGGGGCGGUGGUUAGGGGAUAGAAGAGACGAAGCUCUGCGUGCGGUGGGAGUGGGCGCGACGGCGACCUAGUACCUACCGCCCCGCUUUCCCGGUUCUGGACGCUGACUAAAACGCCGCGUAGUCGUCGUUCGUUACCGCCCGGACAUGCACGGUCACCUAGAUGUAUUCCACAGCCGCGUCCCGACCGUGACGCCGGUCCACUGCAGCGAUGGCGGCGGGUCGUGGUACGUCUCGACGGCGCGCUCGGCCGGGUGCGGUUGCGCGCUCUUCAUGAGCGGCGACGGGACGGGCUGCGGCCUGUGGUGCCGAGGACAUGGAGAGAACGGCUGCGGAGCUUCUGGCCGCACCACAACCGGCCGAAGUCCAGCCGCGCCCUCUAGCGCAGCCGCCGGGCCCCUCAGCGCCGCAUCCGCCCCCUCGUGCACCCUGAACAUCGAGACCACGGCCGGGACGAGGAGGGCUUCCUUCCGGGACCUCAGCUCGGCGUCCCACUCUCGGGUGAGGCCACUUCCUAACCUAGCGACCUCUUACUGGAAGAGACAAGAAGUUAGCGCAAGACCACUUCCUCAGCUAACGGCCACUUUAUGCAUUAAUAGAAACGAAAAGAGGACAAUAGAAGGGGUACUUAGCGAUUGACGUCAAUCCUUGUAGUCUAACGAAAGUUGAAAUCUUAUAAAAGGGAACUAGUUGGAGACGGGAAAAUAAGCACCUUCUUCGUCGGCCACUCCUGCUGGACGAGAGGAAAAGUUAGACUCGAUAUAACAGGCCAAACCAUGGAGUACAACCGUACUUUAAAUUUUUAAGCCUACUUCGAACCCGUAAAACGGAAUCGACACCACCAGUUUUCCCGAAACUCUAAGCUUUUUCUAUAUGCUUGUUUUCCAGGCGUCUACCGUUCCAUUGCAGUACAGCUAAACAAACACGUUCCUUUACCUUACGAAUUAGAUAAAAGGAUUUCAUUUAAGUCAAUAGUUCAGACUUUUACAUGUUCAUCGUUCCCGAUGUACCCGAUUAAGUCAAUUGUUCAGACUUUUGAUUUAAGCCAAUAGUCGAUUAGCCGGACGUCGACAGCUGUUCCUGCCGCACCGUGUCGGCUGGUGAUGGUACCUCUACCCACACGUCCAGCAGCUGCACCCCAACGACGCGCGCAUACGGCUCCACAAGUAGUGCCCGCUGCUGAGCUCCUCCGGCUGCUUGUCCUGCGGGAACCUGGUCGUACCGCCCCCCUCCGGUACAUCGUGUGCAACGAGACCAACGGGACAUAGGACCUGCGGCGGCUGGUGUCCCCGAGGCCGACGUGCACAAAGGGCCGGUGGAGGCUGUACCCCCGAGAGCGCUGCACAACGAACCAUAGGGCCGGUGGCGCCUGUCGCUCCCGAGGGAAACGUGCACAACGAAACAAAGGGCCGGCGGCGACUGGUGAGCCCGAGGCCGAAGUGCACAACGAGACGCAGGUGGCGAGGAAACCGCUGUUACUCCUGUGUGGCUCUCGAGUAAGAUGGGGCUGCCUUUGACCUAACAAAAAAACUCUCCCUCUUGUCCUUAAGAUCCCCUUGCUCCUCUAAUAACUUUAAUCCGCCAGUAGUACCAAACCUAUAAAAACAACAAAAAGAAAAGCCAAAGUAUGAUGAUAACCUAAAACAACAAAGAGUGAUUCUCGAUAAGUUGAAUAUUAGGGUUACAAGACAACAAUAAAAGGUUUGAUAAUUUUUGACCCAUACACGAAAUAACACUUACAAGUGUUCUCUUCGAAUGAUAAACUUUAAUGUCCAACGUUUAUGGAAGCAAUGAGACCUGGAACAGUACCUUCCUAAUUGUGAUUUACUGGUAUUUACUUAAUGUAACCGGUCCUGGAAAGUCUAAUACUCCCGCUCCUACAGAAUAACUAUGUUGAACUACCAUCCAAAGACAUACUUGAUCGUAAAAAAACAAAGAAUCUACGCGUUUGAACAUAGAGGCUUGAAACUACUUAAUACAGUAAACUAGUCGAAGGCACCUUUGAUGAUUAAAAACAACGGAGAUAUAUGCGUGAAUGUAUAGAAAAAAAGGGUCACGGAUAACCGUCACCGUGUAAACAUCCAUGGUUGAUCUUCUUUUUUUCUAACUUUUAUAUAAAAAGAAACCAAGCCUUAUAAUAAGGAGUUUAAAUCAGGUCAAAUCUAGUUUACUAAUGAGAUUAGAUACUUAUUGUGCACUUAAUACAGUCAAUACGUCAAAUUCUCCAGUACCGACGUUAUAUACUGUUUGUUAAUAUAGACGUGAUGUACUACUUGUAGAUAUAUUAUGGUACCAAUGGGCGCUCCACAACCACUACCGCAACCAACGGUUCUACGUCAUGAGCUAGCUCCCCCCUGUAUUACGUUUAUAUGAACCGGUGUUAAAUUAAAAGAAGUACCUGACUUAAACAUAGUUAAUCAAUUGCUAUAAACCAUCAACAAUGCGUUACCUGAACCCGUACAUAAGUAUUUCGUACUAUAAACAAUCAGCUCUGCACGCAACGUGCACGUACGAAUGAUCAAAAAAAAUUAACCUUAAGAUGUUGGCAGGUCUCCUUAGACCACGGGAGGCGAAGUGGACGCGGGCCAGUGAGGUAUGCACCUCUAAGGAGUACGAAGUG
rnacentral:rRNA from 1 species